GGAGAGGUGCGGGAGUGGCUUAACCGGACGGCCUCGAAAGCCGUUGUGCCCUCGUGGCACCGUGGGUUCGAAUCCCACCCUCUCCGCCA
rnacentral:tRNA from 1 species